rnacentral:rRNA from 1 species
GCAAGUCGAGCGGAAACGAUUUUAGUUUACUAAAAGGCGUCGAGCGGCGGACGGGUGAGUAAUGCUUGGGAAUAUGCCUUUAGGUGGGGGACAACAGUUGGAAACGACUGCUAAUACCGCAUAAUGUCUACGGACCAAAGGAGGGGAUCUUCGGACCUUUCGCCUAGAGAUUAGCCCAAGUGAGAUUAGCUAGUUGGUGAGGUAAGAGCUCACCAAGGCGACGAUCUCUAGCUGGUUUGAGAGGAUGAUC